rnacentral:rRNA from 1 species
GACGAACGCUGGCGGCGUGCUUAACACAUGCAAGUCGAACGGAGAUGCUCUGCUGUUGUGGGGUGAUCGAGUGGCCAACGGAUGGGUAACAAGUGAGUAACGUGCCCUCGACUUUGGGAUAACCUAAGGUAACUGAGGCUAAUAACUGAUAGGAGACACUGCUGCAUGGAGGGGGUUGGAUUGAUUGGGCGGUUGGGGAUGGCCUCGAGGUUGAUGAGCUUGUUGGUGGGUUAGUGGCUUACCAAGGCCUUGACGGGUAGCCGGCCUGAGAGGGUGACCGGCCACAUUGGGACUGAGAGACGGCGCAGACUGCUACGGGAGGCAGCAGUGGGGAAUAUUGCACAAUGGGCGGAAGCCUGAUGCAGCAGCGCCGCGUGCGGGAUGACGGCCUGUGGGUUGUAAACCGCUUUCGCCUGUGACGAAGCGUGAGUGACGGUAAUGGGUAAAGAAGCACCGGCUAACUACGUG